UACAGAGGGUGCAAGCGUUGUUCGGAAUUAUUGGGCGUAAAGCGCGUGUAGGCGGCUUAGCAAGUCGGGCGUGAAAGCCCUCGGCUCAACCGAGGAAGUGCACCCGAAACUGCUGAGCUUGAGUGCCGGAGAGAAUGGCGGAAUACCCCAAGUAGAGGUGAAAUUCGUAGAUAUGGGGUGGAACACCGGUGGCGAAGGCGGCCAUCUGGACGGUAACUGACGUUGAGACGCGAAAGCGUGGGGAGCAAACAGG
rnacentral:rRNA from 1 species